CAGCAAGCCAAGCACUGUGGGCUUUUCCUCGUUGACCUAAAAGGCCUUGCAGUUGACUUUUCCACACCCUGGGGACUGCGCCUGACAAACCCACAGGCUAUCCUGAUACAGAUGCUUCAUGGCUCUAGAAUGGCUGGUUGGGAAGCUGCCACCCAAACUUGAGAGGUGACAUGACAGAGGAGAAUUUGGGUGGAUCUUGUGUCCAAUCCGUUUAUCCUGAGGAUGCAGCAGUUACUGUGUUUGGUUACUGGAGGGAAUUGUGGGGGCUGGGCCUCAGCGUCUGGAGCCACGUGACUGGGAUGAGAAUUCAAUUUUCAGCCACAGCGAAUAAGUUUCUUGCCCUCAACACUGCAGAGAAAAACCUGGAAACAGGAGCCAAGUGCAACCUCAAAAAAAAAAAAAUAACCAGAAAGCAAGAGAAAACCUGAAAUGUUUAUUAUUGUUGAAAAUCUCAUGCUAUUUAAGGCAAUUUCAUGAUUUUGGAGGGCCUGACUCAUGAUUUUUGAAUGCUUGCAGUUGGCAAUGUUGUGUGUAUUGCGUGCCUGCCUAGAUAGAUUGACAGAAUCAUUGCACGUCUGGCUAAAACAUAUGCUCUAGUAUGACCACAGGUUGCUAAACUAGAUGCAGGAAUCACUGAAAUUCUCUGGCCCUGUGGUAUACAUAAGGUCACAUUAUCUGAUCAUCCUAGGAGGACUCCCCAAUAUGCCAACCUCUUCAUGGGCCAGCUUGAAGACAAAUUUCUAGACAAACGCAGCACAA